rnacentral:rRNA from 1 species
GAUGAACGCUGGCGGUGUGCCUAAUACAUGCGAGUCGAGCGAAAAGACAAGGAGAUUGUUCUCUUGCCGUUAGCGACGGACGGGCGGGUAAGAAAUGGAUCACAAUCUUCUUAGUCUUGGAGAAUUUCGGAAAACAAGUGCCACUAAUGGCUCAUAUAUCGUACGGCUUGAAUCAGUAGUGCUUGACAGCUUUGCCGACACUAUUAGCUGGAGUCGCGCCGCAUUAGCUAGUUGGUAAGGUAACGGCCUACCAAGGCAACGAUGCGUAGCCGACCUGAGAGGAUGAUCGGCCACACUGGAACUGAGACACGGUCCAGACUCCUACGGGAGGCAGCAGUAGGGAAUCUUCCGCAAUGGGCGAAAGCCUGACCGAGCAACACCGCGUGAGUGAUGAAGGUCUUCGGGUCGUAAAACUCUGUUGUUAGGAAAGAACAGAAGUGUGUUAAACUAUGCACGUCUUGACGGUACCUAAACAGAAAGCCACGGCUAACUUCGUG